rnacentral:rRNA from 1 species
UACGGAGGGUGCAAGCGUUAUCCGGAUUCACUGGGUUUAAAGGGUGCGUAGGUGGGCUGGUAAGUCAGUGGUGAAAUCUCCAGGCUUAACUUGGAAACUGCCAUUGAUACUAUCAGUCUUGAAUACCGUGGAGGUCAGCGGAAUAUGACAUGUAGCGGUGAAAUGCUUAGAUAUGACAUAGAACACCAAUUGCGAUGGCAGCUGGCUACACGAAUAUUGACACUGAUGCACGAAAGCGUGGGGAUCAAACAGG